GGAGGCUCUGCGGAGUGUGGAGGUUUCGAGGUUUUCUCGGCAGCCAUGGCGAAAGGCAGAGUCGUCGAGCGAUCUCAGUCCGGGAUGCUGCACUCGACCCCGGCGGGGGACGGGGCAGCGGGGACGCGUAGUUCCGCCGUGCCAAGUAGCAAAGAUCACCUGAAGG